GCCCGGCUAGCUCAAUCGGUAGAGCGUGAGACUCUUAUGAGAUCCAUCUCCAUGGUUUCACGUGAUCAUCUCAAGGUUGUGGGUUCGACCCCCACGUCGGGCU